AGGCCAGUAGCUCAAUGGUGGAGCACCGGUCUCCAAAACCGGGGGUUGGGGGUUCGAGUCCCUCCUGGCCUGCCA
rnacentral:tRNA from 1 species